ensembl:lncRNA
UGUCAUACAUAUAUUGGUUUAGCAUAAUAAUAUUGUGCUGUAUUCUCCUUUUGUUUCACUGACAAUUAUAAAUCUAUUAUUCCAUGUCAUUAAAUAUUACAAGUUCACCUUUAAUUUUAGUGUGGUAUUUUAUAAUAGCCUUAGUCUAUAAUGCAUUUAGUCUUAUAGAGAAGUAUAUAGAAACUGGUUUUGUUUUUCUUUUUGUAUAUGAUGCUGCACAAAACAUUAUUGUAUCAUCUUUUUUUGUUUUUUUCUCGUUUAUCUCAUUUUGCCUACAGAAUUUGGAUGUAAUCAAAUUUAUCUACAUAUCCGUUUACUGUUUUAUGACAUGGUUAGAAAGACUUUUCUCGGAUUCAGCUUAUAAACACUUUAACCAUUUAUUUUCUGAGAGGUCAUCUAUAAUUGAGGAGAAGUUAGCAAGAGUCCAGAGGCUGAGUGUGGCUUUGAUCUCAGUGUCCAGCCUUUCUCAGUGCAAAUCAUUCUGGGCAGAAAGGUAUCCCUGUAAUAUCGAGAUGGCAUCUAAACUUUUAUUGAAGUUCUCAAUAUGACCUCACUACGACCAAUUGGGUAAUGUAUUAAUCUGAUUGAUGGGAAAUUGUAUCUAGAGAACUUUAUACCCUCACUAGCAUCUGAUUUUAUACUUUCUUCAGAGAAGACACAAAAAUCAUAACCAAGUAUCACAAUAAGACACAUCUAGGUAGUUUGAAAAAUUCACUUUUUCUCCAUGCAGAACCUCAGCAAAAGCUGGAACAAGGAUGUGACUUGAUCAGUGGAGAAAUUGCUGAAAACAGAGACUGUCAGAGACUUUUUUGACUAGGAUUUUCCCCUGUGGCCUUUAGAAGUCCAAAAUCUGGGUCCCUUUCCUGUAACCCUGUUCAUGGUGUAUCCUUUGCAAUUCUACCUGACUUGAGCACUUUAACCACCACAGCUAACUGAACUGACAUGUUCAUAGUCUUCUCAGCUAAUAAUUUCUUUCUCCCAAAAUGCAAUAGAAUAUUCCCUUUUUGGAAUUGGGAUGUGUAUUUUUGUUAGAAAGAGAGUGUGGGCCGGCGCUGUGGCUCACUAGGCUAAUCCUCCACCUUGCGGCACCGGCACACCGGGUUCUAGUCCCAGUCGGGGUGCCGGAUUCUGUCCCGGUUGCCCCUCUUCCAGGCCAGCUCUCUGCUGUGGCCCGGGAGUGCAGUGGAGGAUGGCCCAAGUGCUUGGGCCCUGCACCCCAUGGGAGACCAGGAGAAGUACCUGGCUCCUGGCAUCGGAUCAGCGUGGUGCGCCGGCCGCGGCAGCGGCCAUUGGAGGGUGAACCAACGGCAAAAGGAAGACCUUUCUUUCUGUCUCUCUCUCACACUGUCCACUCUGCCUGUCAAAAAAAAAAAAAAAGAAAGAAAAGAAAAAAAAAAAGAAAAAGAAAAAAAAAGCAACUGCAAGACAAAAUUGGCAAGUCUUACUUCCCUAUCUCAGAAGAUUAGUGACUGGUCUCCUGGACACACAACUUUGUUUUGAAUACAACUUGGCUAUGACUUCUUUUUCUGAACUGUCCCAGAACUCUGAAAACAUUCAAUCUUGAAUGAUAAGUCUGUGUAUGUGUGGGUUUGUUUUAUUCUACCAAUAAAGUUAAUAAAGCUCUUUUCUAAUUUCUUGUG